CUUCACCGGAGGGAGAGCGGGUGGAAGUGAGGUUGUUGGGACUUGCUGUGUGGUGUUGUGUGUGUGGGGUGUGUGUGUGUGCGUGGCGGCGCGUGUAGGCCCAGUGUGUGAGUGGAUGCGUGAAUGUGUGAGUGCGUGCGCCCGCCCCUGCACCCCUCCCCCGGCCUACACGUUGAUCUUAUUUGAUCGGGUUGUGACUCCAGCCCCGCCUGGCCGACCCGAAAUGAAAAGCUUCCCUCCUGCGAAGCCCUUCCUCGGGGCGCUGUGCAGCGAGGCCCCGUGGGCGGUGGCAGUGCCGUGGCCCCGGAGGUUCCGGAGCCGGUCCUGUGGGGCCCGGCGCUCAGAAGUGAUGAAUUGAUCAGAUAGACGAGGCCGGGCUCGUCCCGCGCCAUUGAUUAUCGAGGCGAUUCUGAUCUGA
rnacentral:snoRNA from 1 species